rnacentral:rRNA from 1 species
UAGGGAAUCUUCGGCAAUGGGGGAAACCCUGACCGAGCAACGCCGCGUGAGUGAAGAAGGUUUUCGGAUCGUAAAGCUCUGUUGUUAAGGAAGAACGAGUGUGAGAAUGGAAAGUUCAUACUGUGACGGUACUUAACCAGAAAGGGACGGCUAACUACGUGCCAGCAGCCGCGGUAAUACGUAGGUCCCGAGCGUUGUCCGGAUUUAUUGGGCGUAAAGCGAGCGCAGGCGGUUAGAUAAGUCUGAAGUUAAAGGCAGUGGCUCAACCAUUGUAGGCUUUGGAAACUGUUUAACUUGAGUGCAGAAGGGGAGAGUGGAAUUCCAUGUGUAGCGGUGAAAUGCGUAGAUAUAUGAGGAACACCGGUGGCGAAAGCGGCUCUCUGGUCUGUAACUGACGCUGAGGCUCGAAAGCGUGGGGAGCGAACAGG